UACGUAGGGUGCAAGCGUUGUCCGGAAUUAUUGGGCGUAAAGAGCUCGUAGGCGGUUUGUCGCGUCUGCUGUGAAAACCCGAGGCUCAACCUCGGGCCUGCAGUGGGUACGGGCAGACUAGAGUGCGGUAGUGGAGAUUGGAAUUCCUGGUGUAGCGGUGGAAUGCGCAGAUAUCAGGAGGAACACCAAUUGCGAAGGCAGCUCGCUGGGACGUUACUGACGCUGAGACGCGAAAGCGUGGGGAGCAAACAGG
rnacentral:rRNA from 1 species